AUUCAAAUAACUGUUAAUAAACGUGCAAAACACCGCUAUCAAGACAACCAACUGCACAUUUAGUCUUCCUAUUAUAACGGCGAUCUUGUAUGUAGUUCAGGAAUACUCUCAUUAGAUUUGACGCAAAAGUUGCGGCAACUUUUCCAGACAGGGAUAGUCGAAUGACUGUAAGAAAGAAAGCUUAACACCAAGAUCAAGAUAAACAGUCGUAAACGCAUUCACACACAUAUAUCUGCAUUUGAGCUUACUGAUUAUUUUUGUGAAGAAAAACAAAUUACGAACUUAAUCAAAAGUAAUUGAUACAAAGUGAAACUUAUAUAUUACGUUGUUGUAUUAGUGAGAAUACAAGGUGUUUAUCACAAAUGUUAAUUCACCUGAUUGGGUGGAGCUUACGUUUUGAUUAACAUAAGGACAGUCUAUUUGAAGAUGUGUGUGAUAAAGAGGAUUGCCACUUCAAUUAUUAUUGAUUUCUAAUCACCUAUCAUGUCACCAAACGAAUUUACAAACAAAAUGAGUGUAUGAUGUGGACAGUUCACUGAUGAGUGUAUAAAACACCUAUAUAUAGAUGAACUAGUCUAUUAUGAGCAAACCGAUAAAACUCUGCCCAGUCAAGUAAAAGAAAUCAAGCAGUACUUGCUGCCAUUGCAAGUUUUGCUAUUGCGGCAGUAUAUUAGUGAUAUAGCAAGGUGUAUACUUCCUGGUGUUGCAAGUUGUACUAUUGGGAAAUAUGAAUACUUCAUCGAUGUGUAUUAGUCAGAAUACACGAUGCAUACUUGCUGGUGUUGCAAGUUGUUAUAUUGUGGAAGUUUAUAAGUGAAAGUCAACUGUGUUUAAUUUUACCAGUUUGGAAUAUAUUCAUUUGGUUCAGAUUCAAAGUGAUAAACAGUGUAAAGUAAAAUCACAAAACUACUGAGCUCCGAGGAAAAUUCAAAACGGAAAGUCCCCAAUUAAAUGACAAAAAAAACCCACAUCAAACGAAUGGACAACAACAACUUAACAAACAGACAUUACAGGUAAAAACUCUAAUUCGAAAGGUCACAUUCUCGAAAAGAGAACGGGAUUGUAGUUACGACAUACAUGUUAGGAACAUAUCUGAUAUCAUUAAUAUAACAAAUAUUUCAUGACGGUAAACAUACUCGUGAUGGCGUUCGUUAAAAUUACGAAGUGAUGAUUUCAGCUUCCCAAUGCUUCACUAUUGGGAAGCUGAAACCUACUCUUUUGACGUUAAUCCUAAUACAGUGGCAAAAUCAAUAGCUCAAACAUAUCAAACGAAGGGAUAGUGUGUGCGUUUAGCUGUGUUCAUAUAAAUUCAUUGUACAUGGAAGCAUUGUACACGCAUCAUUGUGUCAUUGUGUAAUUGUGGAUAAUUGAACAUCCCAAGGUGAUAUUAUAAAUUGGUGGAUAUUGUUAAUACAUGUUGUAUAUAUGUGUUAACGUGUUUAUACAUUUUGUGUGAUAUUUCAUGAUGCAUAUUGCAUAGAAAUCCAUUGGUGACUUUGUGAAAUAAAGUGUCUGAGGCAUGUUGAAUAGUGAUAUAUUAGUGACAUUGUGGAUAAUCAGGCCUAAUACCCUAUCAAUCAUGAUAUUGGAUUAUUGUACAACUAACAAAUUAGGUGGUCAGAAUGAUUUUUAAAAGAUUUACUGAAAUAACCAUUCUGAUCGGUCAAAAGAGAAGGUUACUUUCCACAACAUGAAAUUUUGUG